AAGCGCCCGACAAAGGCACAUGUCAGCAAGUCCUCCAUCCGGCCGUUCGGGGGACUUGGCAGACCAGCCGGAGUUUCCUGGCAUUUGGUUCUGAAGUAGGAUAGAAGAGACUAAGGGUCACCUGUGAAUUUUAUGCUGGAUCUGCACAGAAGAACACUUGCAGGGAAGAAACGAAACCAAGAAGGAGCCUUAAGGCAGCGUCAAACUAUGACUUCAAAGAAAUGGUUUUCAGACUCCCAUUUCAGCGUGUUGCCUCACUUUUAAUGUGACGCUUAUCUACUUGUAAAUAUAGCAUGGGGCAGCAAGCAAAGGUGCUAUAUGUAAUUCACUAUAUUAUACAACGCACCUCAUUUUAUGUGUGUCAGGCAAGUUUGGUCAAACUUAUCUAGCUGUGGCUGAAUAUGUUAUCACCAGUUUACGAGAGGGCUGCUGUCUGAGCAAACACGUUCUCAUAAUCUAGGAGGUACUUGGAGUAAUGUGACCUCAGAGUAUUUACAAGAAGCGAGAACAUUCACUGGAAUCACAGCUGUCUUUUGGCUGUGGACAAAUGUAAAUUCUUUUUUUUUCUUAAGAAAAUGACACUGCCUCCCGCGAUGGCCCCGUCCCUCCCUUGGCAGGCAGAGGAGCUCGCGGCUGGCGCUCCAAGCCCUCCCUCGGCUGCAUCAGCCCCGAGUCAGUCACUUUGCCCCCGCAGCGCCUUUUGCUGUGUUUUUCUAAAAUGACACGAACAUUUGUGUCUUUGGCGGGCAUUUAGAAAUUUUAAGGGAAACAAUGGUGGGGGAGUGGGAGUCAUUAUAGUUAUUGUGGACUUCUAAUUUUAUUUUUUAAAGCUCAGUUCUGGACAGUGAUAACCUAGCUUGUUGACCGCAGAGAAGCAGGUGACAUGGCCAGUGUGGUCUAAUCACUAGUGACCUGCGAUGCCUGAGGGACUGGUGGUAGGUGAGGGGGCCUUGAAAGAAGCUGAAGUAUACAAAAAUCAAGAUCCAAGGAAACAAUACAUGUAUUUCAAGGACUUAAAGAAAAAGUCACUGUCAGAUCCUAAGAACUAAGAAUUUCAGUUUCCUUUCAUGAAACAGAAGAUUGGAUGCUGGUUUGAAAGCUCUUUUGAAAAAUCUAAUGUUGUGAACAUUCACUUGAUGACCUCCAGCAAAGACAUGAACUUGAGCCUCUUUCUCAGGUUGGGGGCUAAGCUCAGGUGUGUUUCCAGAAGUAUAAUUGCUGAAUCUUUGGCAAUACUAUGUUCAAUGUUUUAAAAAAACAUCUUUACCACUGAAGAAUACUUUGGCUACCUGAUGUGAAGAGCUGACUCUUUAGAAAAGACCCUGAUGCUGGGAAAGAUUGAAGGCAGGAGGAG